rnacentral:snRNA from 1 species
GGAUGUGAGGGCGAUUUGGCUGCGACAUCUGUCACCCCAUUGAUCGCCAGGGUUGAUUCGGCUGAUCUGGCUGGCUAGGUGAGUGUCCCCUUCCUCCCUCAACAAUCCACGUGCGUCCCUCCCGAAGCUGCGCGCUCUGUUGAAGAGGACAAUCACCCUCGAUAGAGGACCAUUCCUUGGUCAAGGGUGUACGAGUAGCUGCGCUCCCCUGCUAGAACCUCCAAACAGCUACUUUUGGUUGUUCUUAUAUAAACGAAGUAAAAUAUGUGCAAAAUGCUUUGUAAACUGCAAAGCUAACUGGGGUAGCUAAUACUU